GGCAUGUGGCUUGAUGGCUAGAGUAUUUGAUUCAUGAUCAGAAGAUCAUGAGUUCAAUUCCCAGCGAUGCCU
rnacentral:tRNA from 1 species